rnacentral:lncRNA from 1 species
GGGGGAACAAUGUAAUCUUUCGAUAUUCUCUUUUAUUGAAACUCUUUAUUAUUUAUAUGGUCUCCAUAUGUUUUCAUUGAUAAUUGUUGGGUUAUCAUUUGUGCUUAAGGCCUUAUCGUUUAACUCAUUCGGUAACUGAUGUUUGUCUUUAUUGAUAUGGGGACGUACAGUAAUGACAUGAACUGGUGAGUAAUUUCUUGAUUUUGCAAUACCACCUAGGGAUAGGGGUAGGAUGAUCAAUUGUGCUAACUUCUGUUUAUAAUGCGGUAUUAAUUACUAAGGGAGGCUAGGGAUAGCAAGCCAAUAGUUAAUAUUAGGCCCUUUUCGCCGAGGGAUCGGGUUAAGUGGAGGCUAAGAAAGUCGCAUAACAAUUAAUUAAUCAAACUAAUAUUCAAGAGGAGUAGGUAAGAGAGAGCGGAUUAGAUGAAAUUGUGAACCCCCAACAACAUCCAUUCAUCCAUUGUUUUCAUUUGUCAAUUGAAUAAACUUUAUUUUGCAUUUUAAUAUUUUUUUUCUCAAAUCCAAUUUAUUNNNNNNNNNNNNNNNNNNNNNNNNNNNNNNNNNNNNNNNNNNNNNNNNNNNNNNNNNNNNNNNNNNNNNNNNNNNNNNNNNNNNNNNNNNNNNNNNNNNNNNNNNNNNNNNNNNNNNNNNNNNNNNNNNNNNNNNNNNNNNNNNNNNNNNNNNNNNNNNNNNNNNNNNNNNNNNNNNNNNNNNNNNNNNNNNNNNNNNNNNNNNNNNNNNNNNNNNNNNNNNNNNCACUUGCCAAUUUGUCAACAAGUUUUUGGCGCCGUUGCCGGGGACUCGAGGUUUAUUUUUCUAGUAGUUUGAAUUGAUUGAAUUUGACUUGGUUGUAAUUAUUUUUGUUUUAUUUUUCUUUAAUUGCUUUGUUUUAAUUUUCUAGAAAAGUGCUUUUAGGGUGUGUUUCUUGUGUAUGCAGGAAAUAAUACAUACUAGAAGCAGGAAAAACCAACAACCUCUGUUAGAAUGUCUAUCAUACGAGAGGAGAAAGAGACGUCCUUUACGUGAGAGAUCUCUUUCUCCAGAAGCUACUUCACAUUCUUCACUUGAGAGUUGUGCACCAGAGCUUGAGGAAAUGGUCAACCAACCUCCUCCUAGACACACUUUGGGGGAUGCCGCUAAUACAGUUUGCCCCCUGAACUUUAACAGCAUUGCAGUUCCAGCAGACAAUACAACCAGCAUGGUGAUGAGUCCGACGCUCAUCCAGUUAGUCCAGAACAACCAAUUCCAUGGGUUGUCAAAUGAAAAUCGUUACAAGCAUUUGACAAUCUUUGGUGAAAUUUACAACACAGUAAAGGACUGGUUACAUUCGUUCCCUGAAGGAACCUUCAGGACUUGGGAAGCUGUGGCAAAUCAAUUUAUUUCUAAAUACUUCCCGCUUGCAAGGAUCAGUCAAGGGAGGCUGGAGAUUUCUUCAUUCAAACAGGGAAGAGAAGAAACUUUUGGAAGGGCAUGGAAUAGGUUUAAGGGCUUGUUAAGAAAGAUCCCAAUUCAUAGGUUUGAUAAUACUUCGUAUUUGCUUUCCUUUCUGAGAGGUCUGUGCAGUCAGUCGAAAAUGGUGUUAGAUGCCUCAGCAGGAGGAAGUAUUAAUAGGAAGACUGAAGAUGAAGCCUAUAAUUUGAUAGAACUUGUGGCUGACAAUGAAGAAGCACAUGACACGCAUGGUGAUGUUAUUCAGGAGCUUUCAAUGAUUCAAAGCAACGUGAUUACACAAUAGUUGGAGGAAGUGACAAAAAGACUUGUUGAGUUAUCACGGACGUGUAUAAGAACUUCACAAGCCCCACAAAUGCUCCAUUUCAACCCUAUUCAGAGAAGUGCAAAAUCUAAAGAAACCUUCCAGAGAAUUAUGAAGAGAAGUACUUGUAUCAAUGAUUGCGUUGUGAAGGGUAGGGGGGAAGAAGCUUGCGAAAUUGUUACUAGAAGCGGAAAAAUUGUAAAAGAAAGAGAGAUUGAGGAUAAAGGAAGUAUAGAAGACGAAAAGAAUCAAAAGGAAGAAGGGGAAGAAAAAAAUUUGUGGAGUGAGAAGAAGAAAGAAGAAGCUGAGAAGUUCAAAGAGAAGGAGUACGAAAAACCUCUACCUUACCCAAAAAUAUACUCCAGAAAAGACAAGCAAAGACAAUUUGAUCGUUUCAUGGAAAUUUUCAUGAAAUUGGAAAUAACCAUUCCUUUUUCCGAAGCCAUCCAGCAAAUACCAUCUUAUUCAAAGUUUUUGAAAGAAAUUAUCACGAAAAAGAGAAAAUAUGCUAAGAAAGAAACAAUUGAGGUCGAAGGGAAUUGUAGUGCUAUCAUUCAACGGUCAUUAUCUCCUAAAUCACCCGAUCCAGGAAGCUUCACUAUUCCUUGUGCUAUCGGAGAGCUAGAGAUUGGAAAAGCUUUGAUUAAUCUUGGAGCCAGUAUAAAUUUGAUGCCUCUAACUAUGUUCAAAAAGUUAAAAGGGGUAGACCUCAAACAAACAAGAAUGGUUCUCCAAUUACUUGACAGAUCCCUCAAAUACCCUUUUGGAAUUGCUGAAGAUGUGAUUGUCAAGGUUGAUAAAUUCCUGUUUCCAGUGGAUUUUGUUGUUAUGGAAAUGGAAGAAAAUAGGGAUGCACCUUUAAUUCUGGGGUGACCCUUCAUGAAAACCGCCAGAAUUGUCAUUGAUGUGGAAAAAGGGAAUCUUAAGGUCCAGGUGCAAGAUGAAGAAGUGAACUUUGAGGUAUUCCAAGCUAUGUCACAUCCCAAAGACGACAACUCAUGUUUUCAGAUGGACCUGGUGGAGGAAAUCUGUAUGAGACAAGAGAAUAGAAUUCGUAACGUCAUUAUGCUAGAAAGAGCUUUGACGAAUGAAUGUGAGGAUCUGAGUGAGGAAGAGAAUUUAUCCCAUCAAAAAUGUAUACAGGAACUGGAACUAGCAAAAGAAGUUUCACCAGAAAAAGCACUCUUCGAACAGUUGGAUUGUAAAGAAAAAGUUUCAGACAGUAAGAUUGAACUGAAGGAAUUGCCAUCACACCUGAAGUAUGUGUUCUUGGAAGAUCACGAGAAAAACCCUAUCAUUAUUAGUGCCUCAUUAUCUGAAGAGGAAGAAAGAAAAUUGGUGGGAAUUCUUAAAGAGAACAAAGGAGCCAUCGGUUGGUCAAUUACUGAUCUCAAGGGUAUAAGUCCAACUUAUUGCAUGCAUAAAAUUCUAAUAGAAGAUGAUUAUAAGCCGGUUGCUCAGCCGCAAAGGAGACUUAAUCCUGUCAUGAAAGAAGUUGUGAGAAAGGAGGUAUUGAAGCUGUUAGAAGCAGGAAUCAUUUAUCUAAUUUCUGAUAGCAAAUGGGUAAGCCCAGCUCAAGUAGUUCCUAAGAAAGGAGGAAUGACUGUCAUUCACAAUGAAAAAAAUGAGCUUAUUCCAACAAGGACAGUCACGGGGUGGCGGAUGUGCAUUGACUAUAGGAGACUAAAUACAGUUACCCGGAAGGAUCAUUUUCCUUUACCCUUCAUGGAUUAGAUGUUGGAAAGAUUAGCAGGGCAAGCGUAUUAUUGUUUCCUUGAUGGAUAUUCGGGAUAUAACCAAAUAGUGGUAGACCCUGAAGAUUAAGAGAAAACAACAUUUACGUGUCCCUUUGGUGUUUUUACCUACCGAAAAAUGCCAUUUGGAUUAUGUAAUGCCGUUGCGACUUUUCAGAGAUGUAUGCAAGCAAUCUUUGCUGAUUUUAUGGAAAAAAGCAUUGAAGUCUUUAUGGAUGAUUUUUCAGUUUUUGGAGAUACUUUUCAAAGAUGCUUGUCUAAUUUGGAUGCAAUUCUCAACCGAUGUGUGCAAAGAAAUCUUGUCUUGAAUUGGGAAAAAUGUCAUUUCAUGGUGACAGAAGGUAUUGUGUUGGGCCAAAAAAUUUCAUCCAAGGGGAUUGAAGUUGAUAAAGCAAAGGUUGAGGUAAUUGAAAAACUCCCACCACCGACAAAUGUUAAGGGAGUCUGAAGUUUUCUUGGUCAUGCAGGAUUUUAUCGACGGUUUAUCAAGGAUUUCUCGAAGAUUGCAAAGCCCUUGAGCAAUUUUCUUGCUAAAGAGACACCAUUUGUGAUGAGUUCAGAAUUUUUGCAAGCUUUUGACAGUCUGAAGCAGACACUGAUUUUUGCUCCCGUGAUUGUGGCGCUUGAUUGGAACAAGGAGUUUGAACUUAUGUGUGAUGCUAGCGAUUAUGCUAUAGGGGUUGUGCUGGGACAGAGAAAAGGAAAGGUGUUUCAUGCUAUUUAUUAUGCUAGCAAAGUACUGAAUGAGGCUCAAUUGAAUUAUGCCACCACAGAAAAGGAAUUCUUGGCCAUAGUGUACUGAUUGGAGAAAUUCAGAUCAUUUCUUGUUGGAUCUGAGGUGAUCAUUUAUACAGAUCACACAGCUAUAAAGUAUUUAUUGAAGAAACCUGAUUCAAAGCCAAUAUUGAUUAGAUGGGUACUCUUGUUACAAGAAUUUGAUGUUGAAAUUCGUGACAAAAAGGGGAGUGAAAAUGUAAUUGCUGAUCAUUUGUCCCGGUUAGUCAAUGAGGAAGUGACAAGUAAGGAGAAAGAAAUCUGAGAAUCAUUCUCAGAUGAAACUAUUUUGUAUAUUCAGCAAAGACCCUGAUUUGCUGACUUAGCCAAUUUCAAAGCUGUCGGUGUUAUUCUAGAAGGGUUUAAUUGGCAUCAGAAAAAGAAGUUUUUACAUGAUGCCAAGCAAUUCAUUUGGGAUGAUCUGUAUUUGUUCAAGAUAGGAGCAGAUAACCUGUUGAGAAGAUGUGUUACUGAAGCAGAAGCAGAAGAUAUUUUGUGGCACUAUCAUAAUUCUCCUUAUGGGGGUCAUUAUAAUGGAGAACACUCUGCUGCAAAAAUUUUACAAGCAGGAUUUUAUUGGUCGACUUUGUUUAAACAUGCUCAUAACCAUGCUCGAAGCUGCGACAAAUGCCAGAGGACAGGGACCAUCUCAAGGAGACAUGAGAUCCCACUCAGGGAAUUUUGCAAGUUGAAGUCUUUGAUUGUUGGGGUAUUGAUUUUAUGGGACCAUUUCCUCCGUCAUUCAAUAAUGAAUAUAUUUUGGUAGCUGUUGAUUAUGUGAGUAAGUGGGUUGAAGCUGUAGCAUGUCCUAGAAAUGAUGCUAACACCGUGAUCAAAUUCUUAACAAGACAAAUCUUUUCGCGUUUUGGAACUCCCAGGAUCGUCAUUAGUGACAGGGGAUCUCACCUUAUCAUCCGCAGACAAAUGGCCAAGCUGAAGUUUCUAACAGGGAAAUCAAAAGAAUUUUAGAAAAAACUGUCACCUUCUCAAGAAAAGAUUGGUCGCAGAAGUUAGACAAUGCUCUUUGGGCAUAUAGAACGACCAUGAAAACUUCUAUGGGGUUAUCUCCUUUUCAGUUAGUCUAUGGAAAAGUGUGUCAUUUGCCAGUUGAAAUGAACACAAAGCUUGGUGGGCUUUGAAAUUUUUGAAUUUUGACCCUGCUAAGGCUCAACGGAAACGAGGCAAACAGCUGCUAGAACUCGAAGAAAUGCGGUUCCACGCAUACGAGUCAUCCAGAACUUACAAAGAUAAGGUGAAGUUUUAUCAUGACAAGAGGUUGAUGAAGAAAAAUUUCCAUCCUGGAGAUUUGGUUCUCUUAUUCAACUCGCGGCUAAAGUUAUUCCCCGGGAAGUUGAAGUCAAAAUGGUCGGGACCUUUUGUGGUGAAACGCGUAUUCUAGAGUGGAGCAGUGGAAUUAGAAUCUUCGACUGAGGAUGAUCAACAACGCAGCUGGAUCGUGAAUGGCCAAAGACUCAAACACUAUGUAGGAGGAGACGUGGAGCAAUUUGCCUCAGUCAUGAUGUUGGUAGAUCCAUGAGGUUUGGGUCAGGCUCGUGACGUUAAACAAGCGCUACUAGGAGGCAACCUAGAAUUUCUUCUUACACUUCUGCAUUUUAAAUUCUUAUAAUAGGUUGAAUUUUAAUUUUGUUGUGUACUCUUGGCUUUAACACUUGCUCUGAAAAUGUUUGACUAACUGAUGUGCAUGAUGGAUCUAUUUGAUGAUCAUUUGAUGUGGAUGAGAAUUGAGUUGCAAUGCAUGUUGAUAUCCAGGAAAUAGAUGUAUAAUGAAUUUAUGAUUGUGGUCAUGAUGCUAGGCAGGGUGCAUGAAUGAAUUUUGUGUGAGAAAGCAUGUGUGUGAAAUUUUGAGCUCCAGAGUUUUAUUGUUGUAUGCAUUGUUCACAGGAAAACAUGGAUGAUAUUGCCCUAAUCUUGAUGAUGGAUUGAAUUGCAUGUGAAUGUCAUAUGAUCAAGGCCAUUUUUGAAAACCCUUCUCUAGCCAAAUUUUCACCCAAAGUGCUUAAAAUAUUAUACCCUUUUUGAACCUUAGCCUUAAACAGUAUGUGAACCCUUGUUUUGAAGUUCUUUACCUUGAGUUGGGAUGAGCUUAAUUGUAUGUGAUGAAAAGGAUCAAGUUUGGGGUUGUACGGGGGAAAAUUGAAAAAAAAAAAGCAAGUAAAAGGCAUUGAGCUCAUUUGUUGUGAAAAGAGAAAAAUUCAUGAGAAAAAGAAAAGAAAAGAAGAAAAUCAUGAAGAUGAGCUCAAUGAAAAAGAAAAGAAAAGGGAAGAAGUUGGGAAUGAGAAAUUUUGGUAAGAGAGUUGUGCUUAAUUGUUGAAUAGUUUGAUAGUUCUCUAGACUCAAGGAUUUUGCAUUCUAGAAAAACCAAUUUUUCUUGUUAGCCCAACCUCAUUACAAGCCUUGAAANNNNNNNNNNNNNNNNNNNNNNNNNNNNNNNNNNNNNNNNNNNNNNNNNNNNNNNNNNNNNNNNNNNNNNNNNNNNNNNNNNNNNNNNNNNNNNNNNNNNNNNNNNNNNNNNNNNNNNNNNNNNNNNNNNNNNNNNNNNNNNNNNNNNNNNNNNNNNNNNNNNNNNNNNNNNNNNNNNNNNNNNNNNNNNNNNNNNNNNNNNNNNNNNNNNNNNNNNNNNNNNNNNNNNNNNNNNNNNNNNNNNNNNNNNNNNNNNNNNNNNNNNNNNNNNNNNNNNNNNNNNNNNNNNNNNNNNNNNNNNNNNNNNNNNNNNNNNNNNNNNNNNNNNNNNNNNNNNNNNNNNNNNNNNNNNNNNNNNNNNNNNNNNNNNNNNNNNNNNNNNNNNNNNNNNNNNNNNNNNNNNNNNNNNNNNNNNNNNNNNNNNNNNNNNNNNNNNNNNNNNNNNNNNNNNNNNNNNNNNNNNNNNNNNNNNNNNNNNNNNNNNNNNNNNNNNNNNNNNNNNNNNNNNNNNNNNNNNNNNNNNNNNNNNNNNNNNNNNNNNNNNNNNNNNNNNNNNNNNNNNNNNNNNNNNNNNNNNNNNNNNNNNNNNNNNNNNNNNNNNNNNNNNNNNNNNNNNNNNNNNNNNNNNNNNNNNNNNNNNNNNNNNNNNNNNNNNNNNNNAUUAAUUACUAGGGGAGGCUAGGGAUAGCAAGCCAGUAGUUAAUAUUAGGCCCUUUUCGCCGAGGGAUCGGGUUAAGGGGAGGCUAAGAAAGUCGCAUAACAAUUAAUUAAUCAAACUAAUAUUCAAGAGGAGUAAGUAAAGAGAAAGCGAAUUAGAUGAAAUUGUGAACCCCCAACAACAUCCAUUCAUCCAUUGUUUUCGUUUGUCAAUUGAAUCAACUUUAUUUUGCAUUUUAAUAUUUUUGUUCUCAAAUCCAAUUUAUUAAUUUUUACUUUCAAGUCUUAAUAUUUUAAUUCACGCGAAAGAGAAAGCCAUUUGAGUCUCUUGGGAAAACGAUACUUGGUCUUACCAUUUAUAUUACUUGUACGAUUUGGUACACUUGCCAAUUUGUCAACAAUAAUUCUAGCCAAGGUUGGAAAAUCAUCCAAGUAUUGGGCAGAGCCAGAACAACUCAUCUGGACAAGUGAGCAACUUCAGGCAACAACAACCCUCUCCCUUAUGGCAGCAGGUUAGCAGCUUAGCUGAGAUAGUUAAAGACUUAACUGACAGAUUUGACAAAUUUUUGAAAGUUUAUGAGUCUCAACAAGCGAGUGAUUAGGCCAGUUUUAGAUCUCUAGAGACACAGAUUGGUCAACUGUCUAAGAGGGUUGAAAUCACAGAGAAAAAUCAAUUUCGGGCUAACACUGACGUUAACCCAAAGGAGGAGUGCAAAGUUGUUACAACAAGAAGAAAAAGGAAGCCAGAGGAGGAAACAAUUGAGAUUGGAAGCAGUGAGGAUGAAGAGGAGGAGAGGAUUCAUAAUGAGCAUAAGAGAGGCAAAGAGAAGAAGGCAGAAAGAGAAAAGGAGAAGGAAGAUAUUAAAGAAUCACUCCGCAAUAUUCUUCAUGAGGCACACAUUAAUCCUAGAACAUCUUCGCAAACUUCUGAAUAUGAUGAGAGGAUCAAAUACUAUUUGAGAAAGUUACUUGAUCUGGGCUAUGAAGAAAAUCAGGAGCAGUGGGCAAAACCCAGGAAGAAGAACCAUCCGCAGAAACUAGAGGAUUCAGGAGCUUUGACUCUUCCUUGCUUCAUAAAUGAUGUAGAUUUAGGAGAAGCUUUGAUUGAUUCAGGAUCAAGCAUUAAUCUGAUGCCUCUCAGUGAUUUUAAGAGGAUGAGAGGGAUAAAAUUAAAGCCCACUAAAGUGAUCUUAACAGUGGCGGAUGGGUCUAGGAAGAAACCAGUUGGAAUGGUGGAAAAUGCAAUUGUUCGGAUUGAGGAGUUGGAAUUUUUGGUUGAUUUUAUAGUUGUGGAUAUGACAAAUGAUGAAAAAAAUUCAUUAAUCUUGGGAAGACCGUUUAUCCAGACCUCCAAGAUGGUUAUACGUGUCCAUGAUGGAGGAAUAAAAUUGAGGGAUUAUGACCGAGUGUUGAUUUAUGGCUCUAAAGAAACUGUGCAGAGGGCAGUCAGGAAAGUAAAGUACAAAAGGGCCAAAAGUGACGAUGCAAGGGAAGAAAAAUCCACAGGUAUUAAUUUUCAUUACAAUUGUAAUGCCUUGCAGAUUCAUGAGAAAAUGAAGGUGUGCAAGAAGGAAUCAACCCCUUCAGAGGAUAUGUCAUUUUUGCGAGGCCAUGCAGUGCGAUUUAAAAACAAGAAGUGGAUUGUCAACAGAAAGCUAGAAGAUGAAGGAAUGGUAGAGAUUAGAUGACCAUAUUCCAUAAUGAUCAAGAAGGUGGACCGAAGAAAAGUGAGCUGGUGGGACGACGAAGAUCCCAACGUGAAGAAGAAGAGUUGAACUUGCUGGAAAUCAAUUUUUAUAUUUUUAAGAACAAUUUUCAUUUUUUUUAGUUAUUUGCACUUUUUAUUUUCGUUGGAACAUGUACUUUUUGAAUUUGUGGAACAAUUGUUGGGUAGCAUCUACUGAGGGAUGCUAAAUUUUUUGGUAUCCACUGAAGGAUAUCCGGAAGGUACACCUACUGAUGGGUGGUGGAAGGAAGUGCACUUACUGACAAGUGCUAAACAGGUUUGGGUCGGGCUCGUGACGUUAAACAAGCGCUACUAGGAGGCAACCUAGAUUUUCUUCUUACACUUUUGCAUUUUUAAAUUCUUAGAAUAGGUUGAAUUUUAAAUUUGGUGUGUGCUCUUGGCUUUAAGACUUGUUCUGAAAAUGUUUGACUAACUGAUGUCCAUGAUGGAGCUAUUUGAUUAUUAUUUGAUGUGGAUGAGAAUUGAGUUGCAAUGCAUGUUGAUAUUCUGUGAACUAGAUGUGUGAUGAAUUAUGAUUGUGGUUUUGAUGCUAAGCAGGAUGCAUGAUUGAAUUUUGUGUGAGGGAGCAUGUGUGUGAGAUUUUGAGCUCUAGAGUUUUAUUGUUGUAUGCAUUGUUCACAGGAAAACAUGAAUGAUAUUGCCAUAAGACUUCAUAUUUACUUGCCUUCCUGGGAAGCCUAAAUACUCAGUCUAAAAUGAUGAUAGAUGCUUCAGCUGGAGGGAGUAUAAAUACCAAGACUGAGGACGAAGCUUAUGAUCUAAUAGAACUUAUGGCAGAUAAUGAAGAAACAAGUGGGGCUAAUGGUGAUAUGGUUAGAAAUGUUUCAAUGCUACAAGGUAACAUGGGGAUGAGUGAGCAAAACGAUUUAAUCAUCCAGCAGUUGGAAAUAGUGACAAAAACAUUAUCUGACCUAUCACAGGCAAUGAUGGAAACUUCCAGAGUCCCACAGCUGCCUCAUUUCAUACCUAUACAAAGAAGUGCAAAAUAUGAAGAAAUUUUUCAGAGAAUUACGAGGCGGCUUUGAAUUUGAUGGUGUAAAGAAGAAUAACGUGGCAAAAUCAUAUGAGAUUGUUACUAGAAGUGGGAGAGUAUUGAAAGAAAGAGAGGUUGAAACUAAAGAGAAAGAAAAAGAGAGUGAUGAAGAAAAGAGUGAACAGAGGGAAAAGUAGGAGACUGAGAAAAAUUUGAUGAACAAAGAUCAGGAGGAGGAGGCGGUCAAAGUUAAAGAGAAUGAAUAUGAAAAACCAUUGUCGUAUCCAAAGAUGUAUCUAGGAGGGGGAGAGAGAAGCAGUUUGAGCGUUUUAUGGAGAUUUUAAAGAAAUUGGAAAUAACCAUACCAAUCUCUGAGGCACUCCAGCAAAUAUCGUCGUAUGCGAAGUUUUUAAAAGAACUCAUUACGAAAAAAAGGAAGUAUCUUGAAAAGGGCAAGCUUAAAGUUCAGGUACAAGAUGAAGAGGUGGAUUUUGACGUAUUUCAAGCAAUGUCGCAUCCUAAAGACGACAAGUCAUGCUUUCAAAUUGACAUUGUGGAAGAACUUAAUAUGACGCAAGCAAACAGAGUCCGUAAUGCAUCUAUGUUGGAAAGGACACUUAUCAAUGAAUGUGAAGAUUUGAAUGAAGAGGAGGAUAAAAGAAAGCAAGAAUGCGUUCAGAAUUUAGAGGCAACAAAAGAAAUUCCAGCAGAAAAAGCUCUUUUUCAAACGGUUGAGCUUAACGAAAAAAUUCCAAAAAGCAAGGUUGAACUGAAGGAGUUACCACCGCACUUGAAAUAUGUGUUUUUGGAAGAUGAUGGAAGAAAGCCAAUCAUUAUCAGUACUUCAUUAUCUCCAGAAGAAGAAAGGAAGCUGGUGGGAGUCUUAAAAGCAAACAGGGGUGCUAUAGGUUGGUCAAUUGCUGAUCUCAAAGGUAUAAGUCCCACAUAUUGUAUGCAAUGAAUUCUAAUGGAAGAUGAUUAUAGGCCUGUAGCUCAACCGCAAAGAAGACUUAACCCUAUCAUGAAGGAAGUUGUGCGAAAGGAAGUUUUGAAGUUAUUGGAAGUAGGAAUUAUUUAUCCUAUUUCUGAUAGCAAAUGGGUGAGUCCAAUUCAGGUGGUACCAAGGUGGGAUGACUGUCAUUCAUAAUGAAAAGAACGAACUCAUUCCUACAAGGACAGUUACUGGUUGGCAAAUGUGCAUCGGUUACACGAGACUAAAUACAACUACCAGGAAAGAUCAUUUUCCCUUACCUUUUAUGGUCCAGAUGUUAGAAAGAUUGGCUGGGCAGACUUAUUAUUGCUUUUUAGACGGCUACUCUGGAUACAACCAAAUUGUGGUAGACCCUAAAGAUCAAGAAAGAACAGCUUUUACAUGUCCUUUUGGUAUAUUCGCAUACAGAAAGAUGCCAUUUGGGUUAUGUAAUGCUCCGACAACUUUCCAGAGGUGUAUGCAAGCAAUCUUUGCUGAUUUUAUGGAAAAAAGCAUAGAAGUCUUCAUGGACGAUUUUUUAGUUUUUAGGGAUUCUUUUCAAAAAUGUUUGACCAACCUGGAUGUUGUUCUUAAACGAUGUGUUCAAACAAAUCUUGUUCUGAAUUGGGAGAAAUGUCAUUUUAUGGUUACAAAAGGGAUUGUGUUAGGGCACAAAAUCUCAGCCAGGGGGAUUGAAGUGGAUAAGGCAAAAGUGAAAGUUAUUUAAAAACUUCCACCACCAAUAAAUGUGAUAGGAAUUCGGAGUUUCCUUGGUCAUGCUGGGUUUUAUCGAAGAUUUAUCAAGGAUUUUUCAAAGAUUGCUAAGCCAUUGAGCAAUCUGCUGGUUAAAGAGACACUAGUGAGUCAUGAAUGUCUGCAAGAUUUUUAUACUCGAAAGAAAAGAUUGAUUUCUGCUCCAGUGAUUGUAUCUCCGGACUGGAAUAAAGAGUUUGAGCUUAUGUGUGAAGCUAGUGACUAUGCCAUAGGUGUUGUGCUGGGACAAAGAAGAGAGAAGGCAUUUCAUGCCAUUUACUAUGCUAGUAAAGUUUUGAAUGAAGCCCAACUGAAUUAUGCUACUACAGAAAAAGAGUUUUUGGCUAUAGUUUAUGCAUUGGAGAAAUUUAGAUCCUAUUUCAUUGGGUCUAAGGUGAUUAUUUACACAGAUCACGCAGCUAUAAAGUACUUGCUGACAAAACCAUAUUCAAAGCCAUGGUUGAUUAGAUGGGUGCUUCUGUUACAAGAAUUUGAUAUAGAGAUUCGUGACAAAAAGGGAUGUGAAAAAUCUAAUUGCUGAUCAUUUAUCUCGGUUGGUUAAUGAGGAAGUAACAAGCAAGGAGAAAGAAAUUUGGGAGUCGUUUUCAGAUGAAACUCUUUUAUAUAUCCAGCAAAGGCCUUCCUUUGCUGAUCUGGCCAACUUCAAAGCUGCAGGUGUUAUUCCUGAAGAAUUUACUUGGCAACAGAAAAAGAAGUUUUUACAUGAUACCAAACAAUUUGUUAGGGAUGAUCCGUAUUUGUUCAAAAUAGGAGCAGAUAAUCUUUUGAGGAGAUGUGUAACUAAAGAAGAAGCUGAGAAAAUUCUUUGGCAUUGUCAUAAUUCUGCUUAUGCAGGUCAUUAUAAUGGCGACCGUACAACCGCAAAAGUGUUGGAAGCAGGAUUUUAUUGGCCAACUUUAUUCAAAGAUGCCCAUAAUCAUGCGCGGAGCUGUGACAAAUGUCAAAGGACAGGGGCCAUUUCAAGAAGACAUUAGAUGUCGUUGCAAGGAAUCCUGGAAGUUGAAGUUUUUUAUUGCUGGGGUAUCGAUUUUAUUGGACCCUUUCCUCCAUCAUUCAAUAAUGAGUACAUUUUUGUAGCUGUUGAUUAUGUGAGCAAAUGGGUCGAGGCUCUAGCCUGUCCCAAGAAUGAUGCUAGUACUGUGAUCAAGUUUCUAAAAAGGAAAAUUUUUUCACGCUUUGGAACUCCCAAGGUACUCAUCAGUGAUGGGGGAUCUCACUUUUGCAAUACUCAGCUGGCCAAAGUGCUUAAACAUUAUGGGGUGAAACAUAAGGUAGCUGCACCUUACCAUCCACAGACAAAUGGUCAAGUUGAAGUUUCUAACCGAGAGAUCAAAAGGAUUUUGGAAAAGACUGUCACUUUCUCAAGAAAAAAUUGGCCACAAAAAUUGGAUGACGCUCUCUGGGCAUAUAGAACUGCCAUGAAAACUUCUAUGGGGUUAUCACUUUUUCAGUUGGUUUAUGGAAAAGCAUGCCAUUUGCAAGUUGAUAAGGAACAUAAAGCUUUGUGGGCUUUUAAAUUUUUAAACUUUGACCCGAAUGAAACUCAAAGGAAACACAAAAAUCAGUUGCUUGAACUUGAAGAAAUGUGGUUGCAUGCUUAUGAUUCAUCUAGAAGUUACAAGGACAAAGUUAAAUUUUAUCAUGAUAGGAAGCUGAUCAAGAGAACUUUCCAUCCAAGGGAGUCGGUUCUAUUAUUUAACUCCCGGCUAAAGUUGUUUCCUGGGAAGUUGAAAUCAAAAUGGUCAGGACCUUUUGAGGUGAAACGUGUCUUCCAGAUUGGAGCAGUGGAGUUAGAACAUUCAAAAGAUGAUAAUCAAUAGCAAAGUUGAAUAGUGAAUGGUCAGAGGCUCAAACAUUAUUUGGGAGGAGAGGUGGAAAAGUUUGCCUCAGGAAUGAUGUUGGUGGAUCCUUGAGGUUUGGGUCAGGCUCGUGACGUUAAACAAGCGCUACUAGGAGGCACCCUAGAUUCUCUCUUUUACUUUUGGAUUUAAAGUUGUAGAAUAGGUUGCAUUUUAUUUUAUUUUUAGUGUGUGCUUGGCUUGAGUACUUUUCUGAAGAUGUUUGACUGAAUAACUUGCAUGAUGAGCCUAUUUGAUGAUGAUUUGAUGUGAAUGAUAACUGAGUUGCGUUGCAUGUUGUUAUUCUGUGAAACAGAUGUGUGAUGAAUUAUGACUGUGGUUAUGAUGCUAAGUAGGGUGUAUGAAUGAAUAUUGUGUGAGAAAGCAUGUGUUUGAGGUUUUAAGCUCCAGAGUUUUUAUUGUUGUAUGUGUUGUUCACAGGAAAGCAUGAGCGGUAUUGCCUGAAUCUUGAUGAUUGGUUGAACUGCAUGAGUGAUAUUGAGGGUGUAGUCCGUCCAGCAGCUGCUGCACAUCCUCUAGGGGCUUUUAAGUCCCAAAUUGCUCAAAUCUCUCCACUCCAAAGGGUUUAUAAGCCAACUAGUUCUCCUAUAGUUCAAAACAUGAAAACUAGUUAUGCUACUAACUCCUACACGCCUAGAAUGCUCACUUUCUCUUCUCUUCUUUUUAAGAUCAAGCCAUGGAUAGCCCCACAUUGCUUGCUCUUAAAGAUAAAGAAGAGUUUAUAAGCAAUUAUUCACAAGAACUACGAGAAAGAAAUCAAAAGGCAAAUACACGCCCAAAGGAAACCUAUUCUACUCUUUUUUAUUCUUUUUGUCACUCUAAAAGCUCUUCAUUAUUGUCCUAUCUAUGAUCAUAUCAGAGUGCCACCUUAAACACUUGAGUGAUUGAGUGAAACACUUGCUUGGUGAGAAUUGCUAAAUUUCAUGAUUGCAUCUUUGCUUAGUGAAUUGAUCAUUCAUAAUGUGUAACAUCUGUUAUUAACUUGUGAACUGAACUGAAUUGGAAGCAUGCAUGCAUCUUUAUUUGAUUUCAAUGAAGAUCUGAAGUUGAGUAGUUCUUAUCAUGUGUUUUAGGAAUGUUGAACCAUUGGAUGAAAUAGUAGAAAGCCAAGCUUUGUUUUGUUGUUGUUGUGUUGGUUUUGCUUGAGGACAAGCAAAGUUCUAAGUUUGGGGUUGUGAUAACGGUUGAAAAACAGUUAUUUUCAUAUGUCAAUUUAGACCAAAUUACACCAUUUAAGGCUUGGAAUGAGCUUGGAAUCAAGUAAAAUUCAAUAAAUUAGUCAGUUGAGAGUCAAAAGCGAUUUUUAGCGAUAUUAUCGUUGUUUUGCAUUAUUUUGCAGUGAUUUUGGUGAAAGUGAAGAUUGGGGUUGAAGAUGAAGGUCUUAGACUCAAGAUAGAGGAAGAAAAUUGAAGAAAAGAAGAGUGAAGAAACCGCCCGGCGGCAAAAUUCAUCGUUGGGCGGUCCAAGGCGAGGAGAAGGCAACUGGUGUGGGUGCUAGGCGGAUUUGCGAUUAGAGGCAAAUCGUCGGGCGGUGGCCCCCUGCCGAUUAGGGGCAAACCGUUGGGCGCCGUAAGUGCGCCGUUGGGCGGUUUUAUUUUGGGCUUGGGCCUGUUUUCUGUGACGCUCCUCAGUUAUAAAUAGCCCUAGUGCGAUUUGAGAUGUAUUCUUUUGACAGAGAAGGGCGGCCAGACCUACUUUUCACUCCUUGGAGAGGAUCUCCUGGAUGCUUAGGCUCCUUUUCAUCCUAUCUAGGGUUUGCUUUUCCAUUUCUUCCAUUAUUUUCAUCUAGGGUUUGCUCUUCCAUUUCUUCCAUUAUUUUCGUGACAACACUAGGACCAAGAGAAUGAUAGAAUGCUCAAUGCAAAGAUACUCAUGCCAAAGCAAGGAACAUCAACAUGUUUAAAGCAAAACAAAAAAAUUUUGUGUGAUGGUUGCUCUCUGUCUCCUAUUGCGGAAAAGAGAAAUGGUGCCCUCCAAAAUUUUUCAGAGAAUGACGGCUGCCUUCCAAAAACACGUUGCAGCUGCUUUUUAAAAUGUGUAACUCCCCUCUUUUUUUCUAAUUGCCGAGAGCCAAAAAGAGGGUCUCUCCAAGUGACGGCUGCAGCUCCAAAAGCAAGGCCAUGUGUCCUCCUAAAUGAGGUGUGGUCCACCCAAAAAUAAAGUUAAACCCUAGGUCAAGUGUCCUACAAUUUUGGACCCAACAACAUUUUUCCAAAAUUGGCCCAAGAUGCUGUCUAAAAAGUUUUAAACAAUUAAAUUACAAUACAAUAAAUUUUAAAAUGUCGAAUUGAAGAGUCCUGAAUUAAUUUGUCUCCAUCCCAAUGCUCCAAAAUAUAUCUCCAAAAUUUUCCCUGCAAUUAAAAAUACAAAUAAUUAGCUUAGAAUAUUCAAAUUAAUUAAAAUUAGAAUUUCCGAUCAAAUUAAGCAUAAUUAACAAAUAUGGGAAAAUAUCGGACAUUUAAGCACAAUCCCCUCAUUAAUUCUAGCACAAUAAAGUAAGUGAAAUCAAUAAAAUAUCGACUCAUCAAAAUAGACCACACUUAGUCUUUUGCACUCCUGGGCAAAAUCAAGACGAAAAUCAAGGAACAGUUCAACGGACAUCAAGGAAAUGACACAGACUUAGUACACAUAAAACAGAGACUCACAAGGAGACAAACAAACAAAAUUACAAUCGUCAAGAAAUCUGGACCAAGAAAAAAAAAGAAGUAGACAACAUCCAACACUGAAUAAGAGAAAGCAGAUACUCAUGAUGUCAUCCAACCAAUUCAAAGCAUGGCAAAAUGAUCAAUCAGCUCAAGAGGUGAAUCAAAAGCAACAGAACCUCACAGAUUGCACUCUAUUAGUAUUUCUCUCAAGUGUUUAGGGUAAACAGUGUCAACUCAGUGUACUAAAGAAAGCAAGCAACAAACAGUCUUGGCAAGCCUCUAAUAUCAACACUCAAACACAUAUGCAAUGUCAAAUCAAAAGGUCUUUUAUGGAUGCAAUGGGGCCAAGGACAAGGGAGGAUAAUUAUACAUGAGAAGCUACAAACCAAAGGAAAUAGAGGAGCAAUGGGGAACAAGUGUAAACACAUUAAAACACACCCACAACCUCUAAUUCAAUCCUCUUCUUGACUCCUUUAUUCACAAUUUUUUUUUAAUCUUUCUCAUUUUUCUAUACUUUUUUUUCUUCUUUUAUUUUUCAUCUUGUCUCUUUUUUUUUUUCAUAACACAACUUCAAGAGACAAGAUACAUAACAUAUUUACAAAAACAAAAACAAGAAUAGGAACCAAUUAGCCAACUCUUUUGAAUCUCCUAGGAGACCACAUUUACUUCCAAAACAAUUCCAAAGCUCCAAAAUUCCCUAAGGUUAAGGUAAUCAUGGUUUUUCACAUAGGGCUAGUGUAUGAGCUUCAAAACAAAGAAAUGGGGAAACUAAAGGCUUAAAGGGGCUAUCAAAGGAUCACAACAAGGUAGGCUCAUUUGGCUAGAGAGGCUCAACAACAAAACUACCUUUAUCACUUCCAAACAUGCAUAUCAAUCAAGAAACAUCAAAAAAAGUCAAGCCGAGGCAUAUGUGCCAGCAAUCAAGAGACAUAUCACACACAAGAAAGAAUAUCAAGUGGCUCAAAUCUCACACAGGGUAUUUCUGUCACAAUCAAUCACUCUCUCAAACAUCAUAAUCAUCUUCCAAGCAGAGAAAAGCAAUGAUUUCCAACUAAUCAGAGUAUCAAUGAAGUGAAAGAUACAUCUACAACCAAAACAAAGUCCAGAAAUCAAGAGAAACAUGCAAAACUGUACACAAGACACGAAAAAAACUACAUAGAAAACAAAAAAUUUAACACCUAGAAAACAAAAAAAUUAACAAAGAAAAAUCAGAAUCUCCCCCAAAAAACCACACUUAAACUACAUAGUGUCCUCAAUGUGUCACAAGCAUAAGAUCACAAUCAUAACAGUCAACAGAUCAAGGACAUGGGCAAUAAAAGUAAUGAAAGGGGGAGAAGGGAAAGAAGAAAACUCCCUUGAUCAUGGUGGUAGUUGCAAAUUUUGGACUUUCAGGCAGAUGUCUUCCACCACUAGAGUCAGCAAGGAAGUCUUGAGGAACAACUACUUCAGUUCCAAAUUUGUUCAAGCAGGGAGAUGUCCUCCACAGUUGGAUCCAAGAAGCACUGAUUGCUGAUGAGUGGGUUCAGCUGGUGCCCCUUGAUAUUCAAGCUUUUGUGUAGACUGGCACCCUUGUCUUCCACCGUGGGUGUUUGUUUAUCAAACUCAUGUGUACCUCUUGCAGUAGGGUUAGUGCAAUGUGAUUCUACAGAAAUAACAUGCAGAGGUAUAACACCCAAUCUCAAUGUAACAAGUUGACCCUCAAAUAUACCCUCAGAACAUGAAUCAAGUUCAAAUUUAGAAGCAAUAUCAAUAACAAAAUCAGAAUCAUGUUCAGUACAUGGAGAAAAAACAUUCAUAUGUGAUAACAAAAGUGGUUCUCAUCAUGCAAAGAGGGAGAAUUAAAAGCUUGCUCGUCAACAAUACAAUCAUCAACAUACCUAUCAUCAGCAUAAUCAUCAAUAACAGAGUCAAUCUUAGGUAUGCUUACCUCCACUUCCUUGAAGAUUGGCGGAGUAGUGGAAGAUGAAAGUGUUCUACCUAUCUCAAAGGUGUUUCUUAUAUCUGUCUGUUCCUCAACAUUUUCAUCAAAUUCACAGUUAGUGUCAUCCAUCAUAAAGUUGCAAGCUGGUUGUAUCACAGAAUUGAUCUCAACACCAAUAGAGCAAGAACCAGUUUCACAACUACAUUUAUAAUUUUAAGAAAACUGUGAAAGAUCAAAAUUUAAUCCCAAGUCUAAAGCAUCUUCAGUUUUCACAGUUUCUCUAUCAAAAUCAUCACUAACAUGUGAAUCCCCAGCAAUAUCAAGAACAUUUGAAUGCAUAAACAACUAAGGCAAAGCAAGUGGGAAUUCAAGUUUAGAGAAAACCUGUGAUGAUUCAUGAUUCAUCUCACUAGUAACAACAGAAUGAGAAACUGCAUCCUCAAGUGCAAGAGGGCAGGCAUAGGAGGGUGGGGAAGUAGAUGGCGCAGUAGUAAGCUCAUGACUCUGCUCUCCAUCUCCUAUGUGAAUGGCACUGACAUCAUCAAGAAUUGGAUCAGUCUGCAAUGGUGAUCCCUCUAAAAAUUGAGGCUGUUCUGCGGUGCACUGCGCGGCCAUCUGCCUCCACAACUCGUUCAAUGUAGGCUCAGAAGAAGUAGAAGACUUGGCAGGUGCCUUUUGCUGUUGUUGUGUCUCUGAUUUUUCUCAUGUGGUUGCCUGUUAUUGUAGAUGUUGGCAGCAUCAGCUUGAGGCUCAUCAUGGGAAACAGGGUGCUCCAAAGAAGGACAGGCAUCCGUAGAGUGGUCAUUGGAAGAACAUAUAGCACACACCCGUGUAACAGAUGUAGAUAGAGGUGUUGGUCUCUAGUUGGAUGCGAGCUGUGUCACUAAACUCUCAAGAGAAUCAAGCUUGCUUUCCAAUUUCCUACCAACAGCUGAUAAAGAAUGGGUCGACUCAUGAAAAUGUGGUUGCUGUGGUUCCUGAACAAGUGGAGAAGGCAUACAAGGAGUCUGGAAUGAUGGUUCCUGACAUUGAUGCUCUAAAGUACCAUACCAUCCCAAGUUAGGAUUAGUCCACCCAGGAUCGUCGCUAUAACCAUACCGCACAAGGGAGAAUUCGUCUAGAAACUGAUGCUUCAGAUCUUCCCAACUAGUGAUGGAUCCUGGAGGAAGACAAUAACAUCAAUCCUUUGCUGCUUCGUGUAAUGAGUGCGCAAAUGCCCUUACGAAAAUAUCCUCAUCCGGGACAUCUGGAGGUUUCAUUGAAGAGCAUAUGGUGAAGAACUCCUUCAACUGUCUAUGUGGGCAUUCACCUGCAAAACCAUGAAACUUAGGCAGCAAAUGUAUCAGUCCAGUGUUGAAAACACAACGAAUAUCCUCCUCAUCAAGUGGACACAACUCCCUAGGAGCACUCUCAUGAGAUGGAUGAGGAACCGUAUUGUUCUCAACAUAAACAUGAGCUGAGUAUACACCACAAGCAAUAUCAGAGUCAAAUGCAGAACUAGAGUCAUAGACACAGGAAAAAUAAGCAUUACUCUCAUCACCAAAAUAGGUAGACAUGUAAAAAGGGGGAAAAGAAGAAUGCAAUGAACAUAUGCAACUAAAGCUACCUAAAUGAACACACAACGACGAACACAAAAAACAGAACAUCACACUCACAACACAAGACAAAACACAACACAAAUUAACACAAAAAAAUACCUAAAACUGAACCGUUGGUACCCGGCAAUGGCGCCAAAAUUUGAUGGGUGUCGCAACCCAUACAAAUUUGAUUGCAUAUGAGAAAUGCAGUAUAGCUAGGGAAUGACUCCUAGGUCGUCUCUCAAGGAUCAAAUGUGGUUCGAGAAUUAGGUCAGACACGAAGGGGUGGGGGUUUUGUAAAAGGUUUGUGUGAAUGCAGUGAAUUAAAUUAAGACACAGAUGCAAACAGAAAUGUAAACAUAGAUAAAAAUAGAAAUGCAAAAUGGAAUCAAAUACAGAAUGGAAACGGUUGGUCAUUAACUCAAUUACUAUGCUUCCAAUCACAGAUCAAUGACAAUUACACACUACUCUAAUCCAAAUCUGACACGAAUCACCCAACUAAGCGAUGGCUAAUUCGGUCUUCAAAAUCACAGACUUAGCGAAUGCAAUGCACAAAUUUAAGCAGACAUGCACCAAUACAGUAUAAUCAACUAAGCGAAGAUUAAACACUGAUUAAGAAACUAAGCGUAUACCUAAUCGCAAGCACACAACAGAUUAAAUAUUGAGCAGAAUCAAAGCAGUAAUAUGGAAAUUAAAGUGCACAGGUCUCAUGAAUAAACUGUUCUAGCCUCUAAUCCAGCACAACUAACCGACUAAGCAAAGGCUAAACAUGCUCUCUUAAUCACGAACUAAGCGAAUGCAAUACAUCUAUUCCAUCCUAUGUGUUCUAUACAGAUCGAUCAACUAAGCGAAAAUACAAUCACCAAUUGGGCAACUAACCUAAGCUAACAUGACAGUUAAAUUAACACAAUCGAACAGAACAGACAUCAUGGUGAAUGGAAAUAGUAAAUUGAAAAUUGCAGUAGUUAAAUAUCCAAAUGCAAUUAAAGGCAAUUAAAAUGCAAUGCUUGAACUAAAGAAAUGAAAUGUUAUUCAUCACGGAAUCAACACUCAAAAAGAAAAUGCUAACAUUAAAGCAAUAUAAAUGAGUAAGGUGCUUCCAUGUUCGUUUCCAAAAAUAAAUUGAACGAGCGUCUUUUCUAAAUAAAAGAAUUUAAAUGCAUCAAAAGAUUAUAACAGCUUGAAGCACUCCAAGGCAAAUAAAAAUAAAUGUAUCUCGCUUCAUUAAUUUUUAAUCCAAUAAAGUGAAAAUGAACUGUGCAGCCAAUUUUCUAAAAACAAAAGCAAGAAGAAAUUGAACACACCACAUGCUCACUAGUGAAAAAUUGACUUUUUAUAACUCAUAUAUUAUAACGUAGUUUUAUAAAUCAGUUAUAAUAGAGAUGCGGUGGCAAAUUUGUAAAUAAAUUUAAGACAUAUUAUAACGUAGUUUUGUAAAUCAAUUAUAAUAUGAAACACGGUGGCAAACUUGUAAACAAUCUCAAAUUUAUCAUGACGUAGAUUUAAAACUACGUUAUAAUAUCUCAUCAUGUGGUUAAUUCCAUUUCACGAUGCUCUCACUUUCGUUCCUCUCUUCUUCGUCUUUAAACUCCAUUGUCUUCUCUCUUUUGCGUCCCAGAACACUGCCUCCGUCUCUUCUCGCGUUCGCUGCUUCUUCUUUGCCAAAACCUACAUUUUCUUCGUUGCCUCGAGCGUCGCCUCACCCAACCUCAUCUUCGUUUCAACCUUUUUCAUCGAUUAAAUCUCUUCCUACCUCGAACCCUAGAAUCUCCUCCGAACAAAUCUUUGAAUCUAGGGUUUGCCUUUGAUUUCACCGUCUUCCGCUGUGUCCUUGUUCGUCGACUAGAUUUUACACUGCAGAAGAAGCUUUUGAACAACAUUAACCAAGUUCGGGAGGUCGUGCUUGAAGAAUUGAAGAAGCUGAAACAAACUCCCAAUGUGAAGAAAGCAGAAAGGGUUUGACUUGUGUUCAGACACUGUACUUCUGAGACGUGUGGCCACUCGCUCGGUUUGGUACUUACGAAAGGGAAAGUAAAUGUAUGUGGAGUCAUUUAUAAUUUGUCUUUAAAUUCUGUGUCAAUUUUACAGAAAACGGAUAAGCUAUCACUAGUUGAUUCCAAUUUAACAUGCAUAUCUACAUUACCAAAUUGGAUCAAACAUGCACUUUAAGUUUAUUAAAUAUUUUUCAAAAUCCUUUAGUGCGAACAUUUGUUACGCUGAUUAAUCAACAAAUACUUCAAAUUAGAAAAUACUUAUAUCACCUAAGGAUCUACAUCUAUGAUUUUUCCAAUUCUUUUCACCAUCAUUAGAAUUGCGGUCAUACUCGGAUCAUGUGAUUGUACACUUUAUGGUGGCCUAUCCGCUCUGGACUGAUCAUGAUUUAUUGUACUAAGUCAAAUUUAGCAGUCAUUCUCUGUAUGUGGCUUGCUACUUUUAUCUCUUCAUUGUUUGAAUGCUUUGGGUUUUAAUCUUUUCAUGUUGCGUAUUGCAGAAACCUUUCCCCCAUGUGGAGUUUCCUGAUCUUGGAUGCUAUAACCUUUUACACUCCUUUCUGAAUAACAAGCUAAACUCUGUGGUGGAAUUGAAUGUGGACAAAGGUUGAUGCAUUAUCUUGUUUUAUAAAGCAAUGGAGUUUCUGUUUUUUUGUUAUUUUAUAAUGUUAAGAAACCAUCUAUUUUUUGUAUGGCAAAAUACUGAGUGAAGCCAUAUUUAGCUCCUGAAACUACGUUAUAAAAAGUCAUUUUUGUACGUUAUAAAAAGUCAUUUUUCCACUAGUGGCUCUAAAAGAAAAUCACCGCUUAUGCUUUCUAAUAGAAAUUGAAAAGAAAUGUUCCAAGCAUGUGGUGGACAAUACUUAGCUGGAAUCAAGACAUUAAAUCCAAAAAAAAAAUAAAAAAAUUGCUGCAAUAAAACUUCAAAUAGAAAAAUGCAUGAACCAAAGAUAAUGAGCGUUUUCUCUCCAGCAAAUGAAAAAUUCAAUCUUCCUCCAAGUAAUAGAAUCAGCAAGUCGUGACACCCAUGUGCUCUUUCUAAUUGAAUGUAGAAAUUCACUUCUCGGUUCAAGCUUCAAAAUAAAAAAAAAAAAAACCGAAAAACCUAUUGUACCCUACAUGGCAACAGACCGUGAGUUCUAAAGAGAUGUUAAAUUGUGCUUCUGGCUUUACAUUUGAAACCAACGUUGCAGCAAAGUGCUUCCAGCUGAAAUAAAUGAACCAAAAGUAAAGUGAAAUUCGUGCCUCUCUUUUCUUCUCCCAGCACCUACAUUUUCUUUUCAAAGCAAAAGACUAGAACAUGGCUUCUUCCAAAAAAACAAAAAUCACCGUUUGGGUAAAUCUUAAAUGAAAUCAACAUCUACAUUUUUUGAAGCAAAGCCACAUAAUAAAAUGAAAAUAGAGCUCUGCUGGAAUGAAGCUUUCAUAAAUUAAAAAAAAAAAAACAAUGCCAAUCAAUAUUGGCCGUGACAGCACUAGGACCAAGAGAAUGAUAGAAUGCUCAAUGCAAAGAUACUCAUCCAAAAUCAAGGAACAUCAACAUGUUUAAAGCAAAACAAAAAAAUUAUGUGUGAUGGUUGCUCUCUGUCUCUAAUUGCCGAAAAGAAAAAUGGUGCCCUCCAAAAUUUUUCAGAGAAUGACGGCUGCCUUCCAAAAACACGUUCCAGAUGCUUUUUAAAAUGUGUGACUCCCCUAUUUUUCUUUAAUUGUCGAGAGCCAAAAAGAGGGUCUCUCCAAGUGACGGCUGCAGCUCCAAAAGCAAGGCCAUGUGUCCUCCUAAAUGAGGUGGGUCCACCCAAAAAUAAAGGUAAACCCUAGGUCAAGCGUCCUACAAUUUUGGACCCAAUUUUUCCAAAAUUGGCCCAAGAUGCCAAGAGUUUUUCUAAAAAGUUUUAAACAAUUAAAUUACAAUACAAUAAAUUUUAAAAUGUCUAAUUGGAGAGUCUUGAAUUAAUUUGUCUUCAUCCCAAUGCUCCAAAAUAUAUCUCCAAAAUUUUCCCAGCAAUUAAAAAUACAAAUAAUUAGCUUAGAAUAUUCAAAUUAAUUAAAAUUAGAAUUUUCGGUCAAAUUAAGCAUAAUUAAUGGGAAAUUAUCGGACAUUUAAGCACAAUCCCCUCAUUAAUUCUAGCACAAUAAACUAAGUGAAAUCAAUAAAAUAUCGACUCAUCAAAUGUACAAAAGAUAGAAAAGAAUGUUUCUUCUCAUGCAUAGAACGAAAAUCAUCAACAAUGAACUCAUCCACAAUGUCAUCCAAUGUAUCAAUUCUAAACACAGAAUGUUCCUCAGUUGGAAAUUUCAUGGCAUCAAGGAUAUUAAAAUGCACAACAAUAUCAGCAAAUUCCAUAGACAAUGUCCUAGCAUACACAUCAAUCUUGGUAUGGGUAGUUUUCAAAAAUAGCUUGCCUAGAAUAAUGGGGGCGGAUCCAUGUGAGAAACCAUCCUCCAUCUCCAAAACAUAGAAAUCAGCAGGAAAUAUCAAUUCACCUACCCUAACUAAGACAUCCUCUAUGUAACCUGUCGGGUGGGUAACACUCCCAUUGGCCAACUGAAUGACCACACCCGUGGUUUGCAAAGGACCAAAAGACAGAGAUGUAUAUUGAUGGGUGUCGUGGCCCAUACAAAUUUGAUUGCAUAUGAGAAAUGCAGUAUAGCUAGGAAAUGACUCCUAGGUCGUCUCUCAAGGACCAAACUGUGGUUCGAGAAUUAGGUCAGACACAAAGGGGGGGGGGGGGGAUUAUGAAAAUGUUUGUGAUGAAUAUGGAUGAAUAAUAUCAAAACACUAACCCAAACAAAAAUGCAAACAUAGAUCUACAAAGACAAAAUGGAAAUGGUUGGUCAUUAACUUAAUUACAAUGCUUCCUACCACAGAUGAACAAAAUAAAGUUGCGACUCAAACCUCUAAUCCAACAAGUUAACCAACUAAGCGAAGGUUAAUCCUCUUUUCAUAAAAGUGAACUAAGCGGACGCAGUGUUAAUGUCAAAUCUAAUUUACACCAUGCAGUUACAUCGACUAAGCGAAGAAGUAACACCAACUGGGCAACUAAGCAUAUACCCAAUUGCAAGUGCAAAUACAAGUUUCACAUUAACCAAGGUUAGAGUAGCAACCACAGUUACAGUUCAGAAAUCUCAAGGAAACAUCACAAUAUAACUAAUGACCAACUAACUAACCUAAGCUAGCAUCACAAUUAAAUUAUCACAGUCGAACAUAAUAGAUAUCAUGGUGAAUGGAAACAAUAAAUUGAAACAUUUAAAAUGAUCACAAGGCAUAUUUCACAGCUACGAAAGAGCAAACAUGGCAAAUCCAUCACCGAAAAUAAUAAUCUAAAAACUAGUGAACAAUGAAAAUAGAAUUAACGACCUACUUGCAAUUAAACCUUCAAAGCAAAAGUAAACUUUCGUAAUGAUAAACAUAAAAAAAAAUAAAAAAAGAAAAGAAAAGCCUAAUCAUAAACAUGGAAACACAUUAACAGGGCUAAAGUGAAAUAAAUAUGUUAAACCCAUCAGAACUUGCAUAAAGGAUGGUAAGUAUUGAAAUUUGUGCAUGAUAAACUAGCAAAAUAACUUAAGGCAUUCAAUAUAAGAAUUGUAAAAGAGUGUUCCAGCUGGCCGAGACUUCUUCCAUCAUUCCACGAUUCUCCAAAGUAAAAAAAUCGUGCACACACUUCUUUAAUUGAAAAUGCAACCACGCUUUUCUCUAAGAAUAAAAACAUUUUCCUCUCACAUAAAAAUCACUCCUGACUGUAACGUGCUCCUAAGCUGGAUGUGGCAACCGCAACAUGUGAGAACCAAAACCUCAAAUUGAAAGCUUUCAUAGUGCUGGAAUAAAAUAUUGAAAUGUGCUAGAGUGCUCAAUCAUUAAAGCAACGAGAUGAAGUGCUAAAGUUCUAAAUAAAAAUCAAAUGAAAAUAUGUUCUACAACUGGACAUGGCAGUUUUCACUAAAUGAAAAUAAAAAUGUGCUCUUGAAAUGAUUCCAUCAUCACCCGUAACCCCCCAUAUUUGAAUGACCAUUUGCUUUUCUACAUGAAAGAUAUUAAAUGCAUCACCGUGAGUGGAAACAACAAGAACAUCUAAUAUAAGGGUGCUGAAACCGUAACAGCUUGCUUCCUUCCAUUCAACCAAAAUUCAGCACAGUGAAUAACAUAGCUAACAUCCAGAAAACGGUCAAAGCAAAGAAGUAAGUGAAAAGUGCCCCCCAAAUGAAAGUGGCGGCUGCUAUUCAACAAAUUGCCAACAAUGUAAAUUGAAAAUCCCAAGCUUAUCCGUAGCCCUCCAUGCUUCCUCUGUGUUAUCCAAAAUAAAGUCCAGAUGAUCCCCUUAUGUAACGGUAUCCUCCUCUUUUAGUGGCGGCUCCUAUCUUAGGAAUAUACCUAGGGUUGUGUGUCUCUCCUCAACUGUACGUGUUGCUCAAGUGUGUGUGAUUUAAUGUUGGACAGACCAAAUCUGCUGUUGGACCUGUUUUUGCACCCCCGUAGAUGUGUUGGAGGCUUCUUCAAUUGCUACGUGUUGCAGCCCUCUUUUACACGCUGCAUGAAGAAAAUAAUGGGCUGCAGCUCUUCAAUCUGGACCAAGGUCGUGUGUGCUAACAACACCCUUUCCUCACGCUGCUAGACAUUGGCUUCUUUGCUGCCAGCGUGCUGCUUCUGCCACUUGGAUGCUAGACCACUUCAAUGUUGGACCGUGGAGGUGUUUGCUGAAUGAAGAAGCGUGUUAGCUCGUGUUGAAGAUGUGGAGCUGGACCAUGUGCGAGUGGCAGCUGUUGGAUGCUCAUUCUGGUGCAAGUCGUGACUUGUAAGCUGCCUGGGCCGUAGAGAUAUGGACUUGCUAUUGCAACAGCUGGGACGUCGCUGAAUGCUUCUAUGUGGACUGCUGCUGCUGAAGCUGGGACCUUGCUGUUUGCAACUCCAUGUGGGCCUGGGACGUGUUGCAUCUCAUAACAAUUGUACGUGGACGUGAAACUUGUAUGCUUCCUUGCUAGAUGAAGAAAUGAAUGGCCCAAACUGUGACAUCCCUCCAUGAGAUAUGAAAUCAGCGUUUUUUAUAUGCUGGACGAGAAAUAUCCUUGGGCCGUGGCAUAUUGCCAUUGUUCACCAAGCACACAAAAGAAAUGAAAUUGCAGCUUCUAAAGCCCAUCAUCAGCGCCUCUUUUAUUGAGUCCAUGUGCACCUCUUCCAGGUUGAAAUCAGCGCAUAACAUGGAUGUCACAAUUGCUAAUGCUCCAAUUUAAUUGAAUGUGCCCAUCCACCAAAGAAAGAAAAAUGAAGAGGAAUCACGUGCAAGUGUGGGCCGUAGUAUUGCUUUGCUCACGAAAUUCAAUUAUCACACUUCUCCAUUUUCUUCUAUGAUGGGACAAUGUUCUCCAUGUGCACCCCCCAAUUAUUAAAUCCACACCUCCAAAUGUCCUAAAUUUUAGUUCCAAAAUUUUCUAUGCGAUUAAUAACGCAAUUAAUUAGCUCAGAAUAUUCAAAUUAAUUAACAUUAGAAUUUCUGGUCAAAUUAAGCACAAUUAGUGAAAAUGGGGAAAUACUGGACAUUUAAGCACAAUUCCCUGAUUAAUUGUAGCACAAUAAACUAUGUGAAGUCAAGUAAAUAUUGACUCAUCAUAUAUAUUGACAAAGGCAUGACAUUAAUGGAAGCACCCAAAUCAAGCAUGGCAUUCUCAAAUUUAUUAUUUCCAAUCACACAAGGAAUGCAAAAUAUACCUGGGUCCUUGCACUUUUCAGGAAUGUGCGGGACCGACUUACCAAUAAGAGCAGAUACAUUCCUUCCCAUGCUAAUCCUCUCAUUGCCCUUCAUCUUCCUCUUAUGUGUGCACAGAUCCUUCAAGAAUUAGGCAUACUUCGGUAUUUGCAUGAUGGCAUCGAGUAGAGGUAUGUUCACCUCUACCUUCCUGAAGGUCUCCAGAAUUUCCCUAUCCACCUCUUCCAUCUUUUUGCUAGGAAGUGCCCGUGAAGGGAAUGGAAGAGGGAUAGGUCGGUCAACCAAUGGAGAAGGCGCGACAGCGGUAGUGGUGGAAGAGGGAGAAGAUCCACCUGAAGAAGAACCACCGGCUGGAGAAGAAGAUACACCCACCUCAAAUGCCUUGCGUGGACCGUCAUGGUCGUCCUCUCUAGGACAAGUGGCAGGCACAAGUGUAGGUGUAGAAGUGGGCUAUGAAGGCACAACAAUCUGCUUCCCCAAUCUGAGGGUAAUGGCACUCACAUUCCUUGGAUUCUGCACAGUCUAGGAUGGUAACUUAUCAGAAUUCUGAUACUGCGCCUGGUUAAGCUGAGUAGCCAUAUGACCCAUCUGGUUAGUGAGACUCUGUAUGAAAGCUCUAGUCUCCUACUGAAACUGCAGGUUUUGCAUAGUCAUCUGUCUCACUAACUCUUCCAAUGAAGGCUUAGAAGAAGUGGAAGGUUGGGCAACUGGUUGGGCAGGUGCCACUUGCUGCUGUUGUUGUUGUUGUUGCCUUUGGUGUUGUUGCAUAUUUAUUAGGUGCUCCAACAUUCUGGAAAGGUGGCGCCUGCUGCUGAUACUGUGGCGCAUUGUUCCAUCUAAGAUUAGGGUGAUUCCUCCACCCUGGGUUGUACCUGUUGUUGGACAAGUCAUGAUUUUGCUGUUGUGGCUGCCUGUUGUUAUAUAUGUUGGUAGCAUAAGCCUCAGGCGCAUCAGAGGCAGCUGAGGGCUGCAAAGUAGGACAAACAUCUCUAUAGUGGUCACCAGAAGUACAAACAACACAUAGUCGUGCAACAAAUGCGGAUGAAGCUGUAGGUUUCUGUUUGGUUGCCAACUGUGUCACUAACUUCGCAAGAGAUUCAAUCUUGUCUUCCAACUUGCUUUCAAUAGCAGAUAAAGACUGGGCAACAACAUCAUGUACGCCCCUUACCACAAUGGCAACAUUCCUGGCGCUAAACUGCUGGGAGUUGGAAGCCAUCUUCUUAAUCAAUUGUCCGGCCUCAGCAGGUGUGGUGUCUCCAAGCGCUCCACCACUGGCAGCAUCAAUAAUACCCCGAUCCAUGUUGUUCAAACCCUCAUAGAAAUACUGGAUAAGGAGUUUUUCAAGUAUCUGAUGGUGGGGACAGUUUGCACAAAGUGUCUUGAAUCUCUCCCAAUACUCAUAUAAGCUCUCUCCACCAAACUGCCUAAUCCUAGUUAUGUCUUUCCUGAUAGCUGUGGUCCGGGAUGUGUUAAUGGAUUAGCAAGCAUACAUAAUCGUAUCAAGUAAUAAUAAAUGGUAAGUCCAAGUAUCGUUUUCCCAAGAGACUCAAAAGGCCUUAUCGUUUGUGUGAAUUAAGAUCGUAAGACUUGAAAAUAAAAAUUCAUUAAUUGGGUAUGAAAACAAAAUAUGAACAUGCAAAAGAGAUUGAUUCAAUUGACGAGAAGAAAACAAUGGAUGAAUGGAGUUGUUGGGGGUUUACAAUUUCAUCUUAUCCGCUCUCUCUUAUUUACUCCUCUUGAUUUUUUAGCUUGAUUAAUUAAUUGUCAUGCAACUUUCUUAGCCUACCCUUAACCCGAUCCCUCGGUGAAAAGAGCCUAUUACUAAUUACCGGCUUGCUAUCCCUAGCCUUCCCUAGCAAUUAAUAAAGCAUUAUAGAGCAGAAGUCAAAAACAAUUGAUCGUCCUACCCCUAUCCCUAGGCGAUAUUGCUUAAUCAAGGAAUAACUCACCAGUUCAUGACAUUACUGUACGUCCCCGUAUCAAUAAAGACAAACAACAGUUAUCGAAUGAGUUAAACGAUAAAAGCAUUAAGCACAGAUGAGAACCCAACAAUUAACAAUCAAAGCAUAUGGAAACCNUAUAAAUAAACAAGAGUUUCAAUAAAAGAGAGUAUCAAAAGAUUACAUUGCUUCCCCCAACAAUAAUAGGGUUUAGUUCACCAUUGACAUGGGGAAUCAAGAUGAAAAAUGGAUGAAGAAUGGAAAAGGAGCCUAAGCAUCCAAGAGAUCCUCUCCAGAGAGUGAAAUUAGGUCUGGCUGCCCCCUUCUGUCAAAAGAAUGCAUCUAAACUCGCAAUAGGGCUAUUUAUAGGUGAGGAGCGCAACAGAAAACAGGCCCAAGCCCAACAGACAAUCGCCCAGCGGAACAAGUGUGGCGCGCGACAGUUUCCCUCAAAUCGCACUACCGCCCAACGGCUGGGGUCUAUCGCCCGACGGUUUGCCUCUAAUCGCAAAUUCGUCCAGCGCCCACGCCAGGUGCCUACUCCUCGCCCUGGACUGCCCGACGGUGGAAUUUGCCGCUAGGCGGUGCGUCGACUCUUCAAUUCUUCAAUUUUCUUCUCUUUUCUUGAGUCUACGACCUUUAUCUUCAACUCCAUUCUUCACUUUCUCAAAACUGCUACAAAACAAUACAAAACAAGCAUAAUAUCGCUAAAAAUAGCUUUUGACUCUCUAUAGACUCAUUUAUUGAGUUUUGCUUGAUUCUAAGUUCAUUCUAAGUAGUAAAGGGAGUAAUUUGGUCUAAAAUGAUAUAUGAAAAUAACUGUUUUUCAACCUUCAUCAACACCCCAAACUUAGAACUUUGCUUGUCCUCAAGCAAACAAAACAAAACAANANACAAAACAAANCUUGGCUUUANNCUNUUNCAUCCANUGUUUCAACAUUCCCAAAGUACAUGACAAACACUACUCAAUCCCAAAUCUUUAGUGAAAUCAAAAUAAGGUACAUGCAUGCUUUCAAUCCAGAGAUUGCACAACAGAUGUUACACAUUAUGAAUGACCAAUCCACUAAGCAAAAAUGCACUCAAGUGUUUUAGGGUAACACUCCAACUCUCUAUCAUUCACAAGUCACAAGAAAUAAAAUUGUCAUUCAUCUCAAACAAUCAANAUCUUUACAUGCAAAUGCCAUCAAAAGGUCUUUUCCAAGGCUUGUAAUGAGGUUGGGCUAACACAAAAAAUUGGUUUUUCUGGAAUACAAAGUCCUUGAUUUAAGAGAGCUACCAUGAUAUUCAAAAUUUAAGCACAACUCUCUUCCUCACCAAUCCCACUUAUUCCCAACUUCUUCCCUUUUCUUUUACAUUGAGCUCACUUUCAUGCUUUUCUUCUUUUCUUUUCUUUUUAUCAUGCAUUUUUCUUUCUCAACAUUUGAGCUCAAUGCUUUACAAUUGCUUUUCAAUUUUUCCCCAUACAACCCCAAACUUGAACCUUUUCAUCACAUACAAUUAAGCUCAUCCCAACUCAAGGUAAAUAAUUUCAAGACAAGGGUUCACAUCCUGUUUAAGGCUAAGGUUCAAAAAGGGUAUAAUAUUUUCAAGCACUUUGGGUGAAAAUUUGGCUAGAGAAGNGUUUUCAAAAAAGAUGGCCUUGAUCAUAUGACAUUCACAUGCAAUUCAAUCAAUCAUCAAGAUUAAGGCAAUAUCAUUCAUGUUUUCCUGUGAACAAUGCAUACAACAAUAAAAACUCUGGAGCUCAAUACCUCACACGACAUGCUUUCUCACACAAAAUCCAUUCAUACACCCUGCUUAGCAUCAUAACCACAAUCAUAAAUUAUCACACAUCUGUUUCACUGGAUAUUCACACACAACACAACUCAAUUAUCAUCCACAUCAAAUAAUCAUCAAAUAGUUCCAUCAUGCACAUCAGUCAGUCAAACAUUUUCAGAAAAAGUAUUCAAGCCAAGAAUACACACUGAAAUUAAAAUUCAACCUCUUCUAGGAAUUUAAAAAGUAAAAGUAAGAGAGAGAAAACUAGGUUACCUCCUAGUAGCGCUUGUUUAACGUCACGAGCCUGACCCAAACCUGUUUAGCACUUGUCAGUACGUGCAAUUCCUUGCAACACCCAUCAGUGGGUGUGCCUUCCUGGAAUCCUUCAGUGGAUUUAAAAAUUUUUAGCAUCCCUCAGUAGAUGCUACCCAAAAGUUGUUCCAAAAAUUCAAAAUUUACAUGUUCCAACGAAAGUAAAAAGUGAAAAUAACUAAAAAUGAAAAUUGUUCUUAAAAAUACAAAAAAUGAUUUCCAACAAUUCAACUCUUUUUCUUCACUUUAGGAUCCUCAUCAUCCCACCGGCUCAAUUUUCUUCUAUCCACCCUCUUGAUCAAUGUGGAAUAUGGUCUUCUAAUCUCCACCAUUCCUUCAUCUUCUAGCUUUAUGUUGACAAUCCACUUCUUGUUUUUAAAUCGCACUGAAAAGCCCCGCAAGAAUGACAUAUCCUCUGAAGAGGUUGAUUCCUUCUUGCACACCUUCUUUUUCUCAUGAAUCUACAAGGCAUUACAAUUGUAAUGAAAAUUAAUACCUGUGGAUUUUUCUUCCUUUGCAACGUCACUUUUGGCCCUUUUAUACUUGACUCUCCUAACUGCCCUCUGUACCGUUUCUUUAGAGCCAUAAAUCAGCACUUGGUCAUGAUCCCUUGACUUUAUUCCUCCAUCAUGGAUACGUAUAACCAUCUUGGAAGUCCGCAUGAACGAUCUUCCUAAGAUUAAUGGAUUUUUUCACUCAUUGGUCAUAUCCACAACUAUAAAGUCAACCAAAAAUUCCAACUCCUCAAUCCGGACAAUUGCAUUUUCCACCAUUCCAACUGGUUUCUUCCUAGACGCAUCUGCCAUUGUCAAGAUCACUUUGGUAGGCUUUAAUUCUAUCCCUCUAAUCUUCUUAAAAUCAUUGAGAGGCAUCAGAUUAAUGCUUGAUCCUGAAUCAACCAAAGCUUCUCCUAAAUCUACAUCAUUUAUGACUCAAGGAAGAGUCAAAGCUCCUGAAUCCUCCAAUUUCUGCGGAUGGUUCUUCUUCUUGGGUUUAGCCAACUGCUCCUGAUUUUCUUCAUAACCCAGAUCAAUUAACUUCCCCAUAUAGUAUUUGAUCCUCUCAUCAUAUUCAGAAGUUUGCGAAGAUGUUCUAGGAUUAAUGGGUACCUUAUUAAGAAUAUUACGGAGUGAUUCUUUAAUACCUUCCUUCUCUUUUUCUCUUUCUGUUUUCUUCUCUUCGCAUCUCUUAUGCUUAUUAUGAAUCCUCUCCUCCUCUUCAUCCUCACUGCUUCCGAUCUCAAUUGUUUCCUCCUCUGGCUUCCUUUUUCUUCUUGUUAUAACAACUUUGCACUCCUCUUUUGGGUUUCCUCCUCUUUUUCUCCGUGGUUUCGAUCCUCUUAGACAGCUGACCAAUCUAUGUCUCUAGAGAUCUAAAGCUGGCCUGAUCACUCGCUUGUUCAGACUCAUAAACUUUCAAAAAUUUGUCAAAUCUGUUUUGUUAAUUCUCUGACUGUCUCAGUCAAGCUGCUUACCUGUUGCCAUAAUGGGGAAGGUUAUUGCUGCCGGAAGUUGCCCACUUGUCCAGAUGAAUUAUUCUGGCUCUGCCCAAUACUUGGGUGAUUUUUCCAACCUUGGCUAGAAUUGCCUUGGUUGAAAUUUCCUUGCUUAUAUUGAAAUUGGGCUCCCAUGUAACUAACAUCCUGCUGCAUCUCCUCAGUGAAAGCACAUUGACCAUUGAUAUGGUCGCCACCGCAUAAGUCACAAAGUUGCUGUGUCUGGGAAAUAUUUCUGAUUCCCCUAGGAAGUUCAGAGAGGACCUUCGUCAACUUGUCUAAUUUUUGGCUGAGAAGGUGAUUCUGAGCAGCUGCAACAUCUUCAGCAGGAAGAUGCAAAAGUCCUCCUUUUUGUAUGCCCCUCUCACUCUGUGAUACUUCAUUUAAGGUCAUAUCCUCAAUCAAGUCAUACGCCUCAUCUUCCGUUUUUCUAUUGAUACUACCUCCAGUUGAGGCAUCUAACAUCAUUCGGAAUGAACACGUAAACCUCCAAGGAAUUGAUGAGUCGAUAUUUUAUUGAUGAUUCGCGCUUAAUUCUUAGUUAUUGUGUCAUUUUCACCAUUUGGGCUUAAUUGGACCAAUAAUUCUGAUUUUAAUUAAUUUGAAUUAAUUGAGCUUAAUUAUUCCUAUUUUUAUUUUUCAGGGAAAUUUUGGAAUCACACUGUGAGACUUUUGGAAGGGCACCAAUUAAGUGAAGACUCUCCACAAAGACAUUUUAGGAUUAGUCAAAUUUUAAUUUAGUAGAUUAGGCUUUUUAAAUUAAGUUUUGUAUUUUGGGCUAAUUUUGGUAGAUUAGACAAAAGCCCAAUUGUAAAAAUGGUGACAUGGCCCUAGGGUUUUAUUGUAGGGUGGACCCCACCAUUACACAAGAAUUUUUCAGACCUAGGGAUCCUAAAUGAGCAGCCGUCACUUGCAUAGAGGCUCUCGGCAGUUUUCCUUUUGGUGGCAAUGACUUCAUUUUUUUGGAGAGUUCUCCUGGUAGUCACACGUUGCUCUUUUGUUUUGAGUUUUGCUGGAACAUUUUCUUGGCUAAUAUAUGCAUGGUAGUUCACGGUCUUAGGCUUUGCUGAAUGAAGAAGGCAUUUUUGUUUUAUUGGCUGCAGCAUUUCCUUUUCAUUUAUCUUGGAAGUUUUACAUAGAAUGAUUCAGCUGGAAGCGACACACAUAGUUUUUCGGUUUUAGCUGGAACAUUUCUUUGCUGGAAAGUUUUUUGGUAGAGCUUAGUUGCUCACGGUUAAGCUGGACACAUUUCUCUUGCCUUGAAACACUUGAUUCUCUUGGGAUUUAAAAGAAAGUAAAGCCAUGGUCACAUCAAGAGGCAUGGUCAUUUCAUUUUGGGUGGAUCACUUUCAAUUUCUUUUGGUUUAAAGGCAAAGUUUCUUCAAUCUUCACUGCACAGACGUUUAUCUCAACUUUUUCUUAUUACAUUGAAUGAAAUGGUGGGGUCCGAUGGGUAAGUUGUUGUACGGUGCAGGGGAGGCAUUUAAUUUUAGCAUGAAUAUUCUUGGAGGCACAUGAAUGAUGGGACAUUGCUGACUGAUUUAUAUGGCCUUGGCUGGAACAAUUUUAUUUUGAGCCCAUUAUUUAAUGAAAAAUGCAUCUAGCACGGGAGAGCAAGACUAUGAUUUUCUUUCUUUAAUGUCUCGGGAUGAGAUGGGAAAACGAAGGUGCAGUAGCUUUGCAUCUAAAUUUAUUUAGCAAAGCGGUGGGGUCCGGUGAUUGAAGACUUGGGUUAAUAUUACCAUCCAGCGUGGUGUGCAUGGGCGUGGAGCAUUGUCCUAAAAUAGGAACAUUUCAAAUUAACCUUGGUGAAGUGGAUGCAGAGACGUGUUAGUAUAUGGAGUAAUGAAUUCUUAUUCCCAAUUGAAGAUAAGGUCACGGCUGGAUGAGGAACCCUUUCCCAAAUUUCAUUUUUCUUUGAAGCCAACAUGUGGAAGCCCAACAAAUGGGAGGUUUCGGUCAAGGCCUACUUUUAGGAACUUUGAAAAUUUAAUUCUCUUUUGGUAAAAGCACUUGGUCACAUGAAAUGGUAGAAUAUUUUACAUGUUUAAUUGAUUUUCAUCUCUUUUUAAUUUAGUGUUGUAUUUUAUUAGUUUUCAUUGUGUUUAGAUAUUUAGUUGCAUUGUUCAGUUUAAUAUUUUCAUGCAUUUUAAUGUUUUAGAUUAAAUUUGGUUGUGCUUAAUUUUUAUUUUUAAUUUCGUCAUUGCAUUCUCAAACACUUUCAAAACCCCCCUUUUCGUGUUAGACUCGAUUCUUGAACCGCUUAAUUGGUCCUUGGGAGACGACCUAGGGGUCAUUCCCUAGCUAUACUGCAUUUAAUUGGACAUUAAAUUUGAUUGGGCGGCGACACCCAUCAGGAACGCAAGUAAGUAUGAAGUCUUAUCGAACCCAUGGACUGGGGUCGCCCUCAAUAAACCUUGAAAUCUGUCCCAUGCUUACCCGAGAGUUUCCUCCAUCCCUUGCUUGAAUGAAGAGAUCUCUAGCUUCCCUUGAUUAAUUUUUGGAAUUGGAAAGAAUUUAGUGACAAAUUGUUGUGCCACCGCCUCCCAAGUCCUGAAUGUUCCUUCAGGGAAAGAAUUCAACCAAUCCUUUGCGUUUCCUCCAAGAGAGAAAGGAAACAAACUGAGUCUAACUCUAUCAUCCGACACUCCAUUUAUCUUGACAGUGUUGCGAAUCUCACCAAAGAUGGUCAAAUGCUUAUAAGGAUCUUCAUUCGACAACCCAUGGAAUUGAUUAUUCUGAACUAAUUGGAUGAGCGCCAGACUCAUUACCAUACUGGUUGCGUUAUCAGCUGGAACCGCUAUACUGUUGAAGUUCAAGGGGCCUACUACGUUUGUUGCGUCCCCCAAUGUACGUCUAGGAGGAGGUUGGUUAGCCAUCUCCUCAAAAUCUGGUGCAGAAAUCUCAAGCAAAGACUGCGAAAAUGCUUCAGGAGAAAGAGAUCUCUCACAUCAAGGACGUCUCCUUCUCCUCCCUUCUGGUAAACCUUCUAAGAGAGGUUGCUGAACUUUUCUGCUUCUAGUAUGUAUUGCUUCCUGCAUACACAAGAAACAAACCCUAAAAGCACUUUUACAGAAAAAUAAAAAACACAAUUAAACAAAAAUAUAAACAAAAAUAAUUACAACCAAGUCAAGUUCAGUCAAUCCACACUACUAGAAAAAGUAAACCUCGAGUCCCCGGCAACGGUGCCAAAAACUUGUUAACAGAUUGGCAAGUGUACCAAAUCGUAUCAAGUAAUAAUAAAUGGUAAGUCCGAGUAUCGUUUUCCCAAGAGACUCGAAAGGCCUUAUCGUUCGUGUGAAUUAANNNNNNNNNNNNNNNNNNNNNNNNNNNNNNNNNNNNNNNNNNNNNNNNNNNNNNNNNNNNNNNNNNNNNNNNNNNNNNNNNNNNNNNNNNNNNNNNNNNNNNNNNNNNNNNNNNNNNNNNNNNNNNNNNNNNNNNNNNNNNNNNNNNNNNNNNNNNNNNNNNNNNNNNNNNNNNNNNNNNNNNNNNNNNNNNNNNNNNNNNNNNNNNNNNNNNNNNNNNNNNNNNNNNNNNNNNNNNNNNNNNNNNNNNNNNNNNNNNNNNNNNNNNNNNNNNNNNNNNNNNNNNNNNNNNNNNNNNNNNNNNNNNNNNNNNNNNNNNNNNNNNNNNNNNNNNNNNNNNNNNNNNNNNNNNNNNNNNNNNNNNNNNNNNNNNNNNNNNNNNNNNNNNNNNNNNNNNNNNNNNNNNNNNNNNNNNNNNNNNNNNNNNNNNNNNNNNNNNNNNNNNNNNNNNNNNNNNNNNNNNNNNNNNNNNNNNNNNNNNCCUAUUCCUAGGUGGUAUUCCUUAAUCAAGGAAUUACUCACCAGUUCAUGCCAUUACUGUACGUCCCCAUAUCCAUAAAGACAAACAACAGUUAUCGAAUGAGUUAAACGAUAAAAGCAUUAAGCACAGAUGAGAACCCAACAAUUAACAAUCAAAGCAUAUGGAAACUGAUAAGUCAUUAUUUCUUGAACUAUAUUUAGUUUAUUGCACUUAAGUAAACCAGGGAAUUGUGGUUAAAUUUCUGUUAUUUCCCCGUUUUCUGAAUUCUACUUAAUUUGGUCGGAAAUUCGUAAUUGUGCUAAUUUGGAUUUUCUGAGCUGAUUAAGUGCAUUUCUGGUUGCAGGGAAGUUGUGGAAACAUCAUGUGGAGCAUUAGGAUAUGACGUGACACAUUCAAAGGCUCAACAUUUAGUCAUUUAGAUUGUAAUUAAAGUUGUAAUUUCGUUUUCUAGAAGUCCUUAAUUAGAAUUAGGUGUUUUUGACCCUUUUAGGGGCAAUUUUGUAAAAAAACCCAUGUGUAGGACAUGUGGCUUUUAGCUAGGGUUUCAUUAGAAGGUGGUCCCCAAAAAUUUUAGAGUCUUGGAUGGUCUUUAGAGGGGAUAAUGCCUCUUUUGGGCUCCCAUAGCCACACUUCAUACUUCAUGUUUUUAAACUUUUCUUUCCUAGGGUUUCAUGGAUGAACAUGCCUUAAGGGAACUUGCUUGGAAUUUCGGUUUUGGGCCAUUUGAAUGAAGAAAGUUGCAGAUUUUCUUUGUCUCUUAACUUACUCUUGGUUGUCUUUGCUUGUUGGUGGUGAAAAACCAUUCAUUUCUACUUCUAUAUGCUUGUUUUUUAUGCUUGGAGCUUGAGCUUUACAGCUUGUCUUUGCAUUUCCAUGGUGGAUGUUGGGUUUGAGUAACUUUAUAUUUCGUUUUCCUCUCCCUUUUCUGCUGUUUCUCACGUUUUUCUUUGCAUUUUAUUUGGUUGGAUGAUAAAAAUGGAAUUCCAUGUGAGUUUUGGGUUGAAAAGAGCUUAACUUGAUGUGUGGAUGUUGUGGUUUGGGCUCUUUCUUCUUGUUUUUCGGUUUGGAUGUUUGAAGCAAGGAUGGAACCAGAUUUUGGGGUUGUUAUUGUGGCUGGAAAGAGCUGCAAUUGAUAGCUUGGUGUUCAUUUUCGUUUUUGCAAAGAAACUUGAAGAAAUGGUAGUGUUAAAGUUGGGUUGAUGAGUAGAAGUUUGGGGUUUAUUGUUCUUGUGUUCAUUUGCAACUUCAACCUUGGUUACUUGAAGUCAUUCUCUAUUUUGGAAGGUGGAGGAAAGCAUUUUGAUGCAUGAUUCUUCAAGAAAAAUCGUUUGGAGUUUGUAGGAGAGAGGAAUUUGCUUUAUUUAAUUUUUACCACUUUUGGGCCAACACAAAAGAUGCUUGUUUUGACUCAAGGAAUGUUUCCUUUUUGGUCUUGCCUUUUUCUUUGCAUUGCUACCGUGAAUCACCAUUAAGAUGGGAAUGUUUUCUGUUUGAUUUUCAUUUUGCUUGGCUUACAUGGUACAUUGGAAGAAGCACCCUAAGUAUUUUUCAUUUACACCUUGGUUUGAAGCACUUUUUGUAGAAUUUCCUUGCUAGUACACGUCAAUUGGUGUCUUGGAGUGUGGUUCACGUUUUUUGCUGCAUGGAGAAGUGAUGGGAAGGAUUUCAAUUGGUUGUUUAAAACAUAUUUUAAUUUCUUUUUGAGACAUGGUGCACAUGGGACAAAAAGACAACACAUUUAGUGGCUUAUUGAAGGUUAAAAAUUGAUUUGGUCUUGGUGGAGAGUAGUGAACGGCCAUGUGCUUUUCUUUGGCCAAUUGGACUUUUAAAAUCCUUUGUUAAUUGUCAUUUAGUCAAGUUAAUUGCUAGGAUUAAGUUAGGCUUGUUGGUUUCUUUGGUUUUUAAUUAAUUGAGUUAAUAGGUUGAGUUUAAUGUGUUUGGGUUCGUGUUGAAUUUAAUUAUUUUUAACUGUGUUUGUAGCAUUGUUUGAUGUUUGAAUGUUGUUUAAGGUCUUUAAUAGUUUUGAUUUAAUUUCCAAGGUAGCUUAAAUUAGUUUGGUUGGUCAUUGACAAUAUUGCACUGUUUCCUUGAGAUUCUUGAAUUGUGAUUGUCUGUGCACUCUGGCUUGGUUAAUGUGAAUACUAUUUUUGCACUUGCAAUUGGGUAAACGCUUAGUUGCCCAGUUGGUGUUACAUCUUCGCUUAGUUGAUGUAACUGCGUGGUGUAAAUUAGAUUUGACAUUAACACUGCGUCCGCUUAGUUCACUUUUAUGAAAACCUGGCUAACGUUCGCUUAGUCGGUUAACUCUGUUGGAUUAGAGGUCUGAGUAGCAACUUUAUUUAGAUAGUCUGUGAUGGGAAACAUUGUAAUUAAAUUAAGAACAACCGUUUUCAUUAUGUGUUGAAACCGUUUUCUUUAGAUUUGUGUUUACAUCUUUGUUUGUAUUUGUGUCUUUAUUGAGUUCUUUAAUUUUUGCAAAACCUUACCAAACCCCCCCCCCUUUUCGUGUUAGACUCAAUUCUCGAACCGCAAAAUUGGUCUUUGGGAGACGACCUAGGGGUCAUUCCUUAGCUAUACUGCAUUUCUCAUAUGCAAUCAAAUUUGUAUGGGCCGCGACACCCAUCAGAAACCAUAUAAAUAAACAAGAGUUUCAAUAAAAGAGAGUAUCAAAAGAUUACAUUGUUUCCCCCAACAACAAUAGGGUUUAGUUCACCAUUGACAUGGUGAAUCUAGAUGAAGAAUGGAUGAAGAAUGGAAAAGCAAACCCUAGAUAAGAUGAAAAGGAGCCUAAGCAUUCAAGAGAUCCUCUCCAGAGAGUGAAAUUAGGUCUGGCCGCCCCCUUCUAUUAAAAGAACGCAUCUAAACUCGAAAUAGGGCUAUUUAUAAGUGAGGAGCGCAACAGAAAAUAGGCCCAAGCCACACUUAUAAAUACCCCUAUUCCGAGUUCAGAGUCAUUCUUUUGACAGGGGAGAACGGCCAGACCUAAUUUUUCUCUCUGAAGAGGAUCUCUUGGAUGCUUAGACUCCUUUUCAUCUUUUCUAGGGUUUGCUUUUCCAUUAUUCUUCCAUUUUCCAUCUAGUUUCACCAUGUCUAUGGUGAACUAAACCCUAUUUUUGUUGGGGGAAACAAUGUAAUCUUUUGAUACUCUCUUUUAUUGAAACUCUUGAUUAUUUAUAUGGUCUCCAUAUGUUUUGAUUGAUAAUUNUUGGGUUAUCAUCUAUGCUUAAGGCCUUUAUCGUUUAACUCAUUCGGUAACUGAUGUUUGUCUUUAUUGAUAUAGGGGCGUACAGUAAUGACAUGAACUGGUGAGUAAUUUCUUGAUUCUGCAAUACCACCUAGGGAUAGGGGUAGGACGAUCAAUUGCGCUAACUUCUGUUUAUAAUGCGGUAUUAAUUACUAGGGGAGGCUAGGGAUAGCAAGCCAGUAAUUAAUAUUAAGAUUUUUUCGCCGAGGGAUCGGGUUAAGGGUAGGCUAAGAAACUCGCAUAACAAUUGAAUUAAUCAAACUAAUAUUCAAGAGGAGUAGAUAAGAGAGGGCAAAUUAGAUGAAAUUGUAAACCCCCAACAACAUCCAUUCAUCCAUUGUUUUCUUUUGUCAAUUGAAUCAACUUUAUUUUGCAUGUUAAUAUUUUUGUCCUCAAAUCCAAUUUAUUAAUUUUUAUUUUCAAGUCUUAUUAUUUUAAUUCACGUGAACGGGAAAGCCUUUCGAGUCUAUUGGGAAAACGAUACUUGGUCUUACCAUUUAUAUUACUUGUACGAUUUGGUACACUUGCCAAUUUGUCAACAAAUUUUUGGCACUGUUGUCGGGGACUCGAGGUUUAUUUUUCUAGUAGUGUGAAUUAAUUGAAUUUGACUUGGUUGUAAUUAUUUUUGUUUUAUUUUUCUUUAAUUGCGUUUUGUUUUAUUUUUCUGUAAAAGUGCUUUUAGGGUGUGUUUCUUGUGUAUGCGGGAAACAAUACAUACUAGAAGCAGGAGAAACCAACAACCUUUGUUAGAAGGUCUGCCAGACGAGAG